AUCUUUGUGAAAAUACUAAACUAAAUAGAAUUAUACCCUUCUAUUGAAACUUUUGUUACAUUUUCAUCUUGCUUAAAAAUUGAUUUAAAAAAUUAAAAUGUUUGUAAACCAGUUUAGUAUUCUGUAAAAGCUAUUUCAUUCUAUGUCACAAAUUUGAUAGGCUAAACAACUUUGGAUAUGGAAUUAAACUUUUCAGAAAAGAAAGACUGUGUUUACUCGUAAAUGUUUUAUCAAUAUUUCACAGCUGGAUGUGAGUGAAUUAAUAAAGUAAGACCUAAAAUGCAACUUAAGCUAAUUGGAUUACAUAAGAAACGUUUAUAAAACAACUUAUUAAUUUUAUAAAAUAAGACCAUACAUUGGAUAGAAUGUAUAAACGGACUUACGUUAAAAACAAGAAACUUUAUUAGGUGGAUAUAUAGCAAGUUUACAGUUCGCCGUGGGCCAUUAAGGAUACUAAAUAUGUUAUGCAGUUCCACGAAAACGCACAUAUGAAUCAAAGGACGUUCCUUGCAAUGAAAACAGAAAACGAUUGAAACUAAGGACAGGAAACACGGAGACCGUGCCUGACACGUAUCAGCCUCCAAUACAGGAGACAGCCGAGCCUGCCGCAACUACCGAUGUGACUCAAGGUCUUUUCCCUGCAAACAUGCAACCCGUGCAUGAGGAACAGGAAAUUUCAGUACGUGGCGCAGCUGGAACAUCCGGAAACAUCCCAAUACUGCCAUCAUCAUCUGCUGUGACUGCUGCUGCAGGUACUGGAAAUCGAAAUGAGAAGAAAGCAGACGACGGGCAUAGAGAUAUCACAUCAGCAAAGGCAGGGUCAUGUUAAAGAAGAAGACUAUAGAAAAUAAUAAAU